rnacentral:rRNA from 1 species
GACGGAGGGCGCGAGCGUUAUUCGGAAUCAUUGGGCGUAAAGAGCGUGUAGGCGGCCGGUUAAGUCAGGUGUGAAAGCCCGGGGCUCAACCUCGGAAGUGCACUUGAAACUGGUCGGCUUGAGUUCGGGAGAGGGAAGCGGAAUUCCUGGUGUAGAGGUGAAAUUCGUAGAUAUCAGGAGGAACACCGGUGGCGAAGGCGGCUUCCUGGACCGAAACUGACGCUGAGACGAGAAAGCGUGGGGAGCAAACAGG